UCGGAGGGAGGGAGAGAGGGAGGGAUGGAAGGACGGCCGGCCGGGAAAGCGGCCGCGCCCGCCGUACUCACAUGAGCGGAUUCCUCUUAAACGCGUUGUUGAUGUCCUUCACCACCCGCUGCACCAGCACCGCCACCUCUUCCGAAGACUCUGCCAUUUUAGCGGCGGUCAGACUCCCCUCGUGUUUCCGCCCACGCCCUCCUAAGCUGCCGAAGGUCGGGCAUAGCAGCACCAGGCCUCCGAUAAAUUCCAUCCAACCCUGGGCCCCUUCUGCAUGGGAAGUUUGAUCUUUGGAAGAUUCAGGGGGGAAAGGGGCCCCGAGCACGUAAGAGCCUUAGUAAAGUGUGUCCCUGUCAUACCGAGAA